rnacentral:rRNA from 1 species
UGAGGAAUAUUGGUCAAUGGGCGGAAGCCUGAACCAGCCAAGUCGCGUGAGGGAAUAAGGCCCUACGGGUCGUAAACCUCUUUUGCCGGGGAGCAAGGGCGGGGACGAGUCCCGGCCCGGAGAGUACCCGGAGAAAAAGCAUCGGCUAACUCCGUGCC